AUUAAAACUACUUUUGUUACAUAAAAACUACACUCCACGCUACAAAUUCUCCCAAUCCCAAGUAAGCCUAAUUCGUAACCAAAGUGCUUGCUAGGGCGUUAAGAGUAUAGUCGAAUGAAAGCUCAGAAGUUAUGCAGCUAUAGCAUUUUGCUGAGACCUUUAGCGAAGUAAAGAAGGAUAGCUGAAAAAUAAUUUCAGCGCGUCAGUGGCGAUCAGGCUAAAAGUCCAUUGUUGACUACAUCUGCAUUUUAUGCUCAGACUUCUUGUGAAUUUUUGUCAAGUCGACUAAAUGGCGCAUGGUUGGUCUGCCGUGAGGACAAUUCCAAGGGGAUUUGAGUUCAGCCAUAUGGUCAAGUAUCUGAAACAAUUAGUGUAAGCUACAAAUCAGUCUAUAAGGAUAUAACAUUUAAACUUCAAUUUAUUUAAAUUUAGUUCCCACAAAACCAGAUGCUUAUCAUCCCAGUUCUGCAUUUUUUUUAACAUGUUUGUUAAUGAAGGGGAGGGGGCAGUGAUUAAAAUAAUGUGAUGCACUACCUUUCUCAUUUCAUUUCUUCCAAGUGCAUCACCCACCAUAAUUGAUGAUCGACAUGCACGUGAUGCCAACAUUGAACGAACUCUUGAUGGACAUAUAGAAUCUGAGGAGUCCAGUUUAAAGCUACCAACAAUGGAACAUUCCAUGUGGCCAUCACCAUCGCACAGUGUAGAGAUCAGCUCCUUAACAUCUGUUGGGAAAAAUGCUUAUUGUUAAUCACUUCAAUGUAUCAUUCUCUUUACCCUAGUGGAAGUUUUAAUACAUCAUUGAAAAGAAGCAAGUAAUUCACUAAGGCAAGGGAUCUAGACAAUCCCAAGAUUCAAAUGUGUCAAUCUUUAAGUCAAAGCUUUAGACACCGGGGUAUACAUAUAUAUAGAAAAUAUUAACAACUUUGGUAUCAUGGAAUGGAAAAAUCUCAAUUCAAAGGAUAUUAUACUACCAAGGGUAUCGUAAUGAUUCCCAAGGUUAAGCAUGCUGGCUCCGCAGAUCCUUACAAAGGCUGAGGGUUUUUCUAAAACUUAACCACAAUUUGAAUGUCAU
rnacentral:sRNA from 1 species